rnacentral:rRNA from 1 species
AUCAGAGAGUUUGAUCCUGGCUCAGAAUAAACGUUAGCGGCGUGCCUGAUGCAUGCAAGUCGAAC